CCUACGGGGUGCAGCAGUGAGGAAUAUUGGUCAAUGGGCGCGAGCCUGAACCAGCCAAGUCGCGUGAGGGAAGACGGUCCUAUGGAUUGUAAACCUCUUUUGUCGGGGAGCAAAAGACGCCACGCGUGGCGUUCCGAGAGUACCCGAAGAAAAAGCAUCGUCUAACUCCGUGCCAGCAUCCGCGGUAAUACGGAGGAUGCGAGCGUUAUCCGGAUUUAUUGGGGUUAAAGGGUACGUAGGGGGGCUGUUAAGUCAGCGGGAAAAGCCCGGGGCUAAAGCCCGGCGAGCCGUUGAAACUGGCUGUAUUGAGAUGUCGAGAGGUAGGCGGAAUGCGCAGUGUAGCGGUGAAAUGCUUAGAUAUUGCGCAGAACUCCGAUUGCGAAGGCAGCAUACCGGCGGCGAUCUGACGCUGAGGCACGAAAGCGUGGGUAUCGAACAGGAUUAGAUACCCCGGUAGUC
rnacentral:rRNA from 1 species